rnacentral:rRNA from 1 species
GAUGAACGCUGGCGGCGUGCCUAAUACAUGCAAGUCGAGCGAACGGACGAGAAGCUUGCUUCUCUGAUGUUAGCGGCGGACGGGUGAGUAACACGUGGAUAACCUACCUAUAAGACUGGGAUAACUUCGGGAAACCGGAGCUAAUACCGGAUAAUAUUUUGAACCGCAUGGUUCAAAAGUGAAAGACGGUCUUGCUGUCACUUAUAGAUGGAUCCGCGCUGCAUUAGCUAGUUGGUAAGGUAACGGCUUACCAAGGCAACGAUGCAUAGCCGACCUGAGAGGGUGAUCGGCCACACUGGAACUGAGACACGGUCCAGACUCCUACGGGAGGCAGCAGUAGGGAAUCUUCCGCAAUGGGCGAAAGCCUGACGGAGCAACGCCGCGUGAGUGAUGAAGGUCUUCGGAUCGUAAAACUCUGUUAUUAGGGAAGAACAUAUGUGUAAGUAACUGUGCACAUCUUGACGGUACCUAAUCAGAAAGCCACGGCUAACUACGUGCCAGCAGCCGCGGUAAUACGUAGGGGCAAGCGUUAUCCGGAAUUAUUGGGCGUAAAGCGCGCGUAGGCGGUUUUUUAAGUCUGAUGUGAAAGCCCACGGCUCAACCGUGGAGGGUCAUUGGAAACUGGAAAACUUGAGUGCAGAAGAGGAAAGUGGAAUUCCAUGUGUAGCGGUGAAAUGCGCAGAGAUAUGGAGGAACACCAGUGGCGAAGGCGACUUUCUGGUCUGUAACUGACGCUGAUGUGCGAAAGCGUGGGGAUCAAACAGGAUUAGAUACCCUGGUAGUCCACGCCGUAAACGAUGAGUGCUAAGUGUUAGGGGGUUUCCGCCCCUUAGUGCUGCAGCUAACGCAUUAAGCACUCCGCCUGGGGAGUACGACCGCAAGGUUGAAACUCAAAGGAAUUGACGGGGACCCGCACAAGCGGUGGAGCAUGUGGUUUAAUUCGAAGCAACGCGAAGAACCUUACCAAAUCUUGACAUCCUUUGACAACUCUAGAGAUAGAGCUUUCCCCUUCGGGGGACAAAGUGACAGGUGGUGCAUGGUUGUCGUCAGCUCGUGUCGUGAGAUGUUGGGUUAAGUCCCGCAACGAGCGCAACCCUUAAGCUUAGUUGCCAUCAUUAAGUUGGGCACUCUAAGUUGACUGCCGGUGACAAACCGGAGGAAGGUGGGGAUGACGUCAAAUCAUCAUGCCCCUUAUGAUUUGGGCUACACACGUGCUACAAUGGACAAUACAAAGGGCAGCGAAACCGCGAGGUCAAGCAAAUCCCAUAAAGUUGUUCUCAGUUCGGAUUGUAGUCUGCAACUCGACUACAUGAAGCUGGAAUCGCUAGUAAUCGUAGAUCAGCAUGCUACGGUGAAUACGUUCCCGGGUCU